UACGAAGGGUGCAAGCGUUACUCGGAAUUACUGGCGUAAAGCGUGCGUAGGUGGUUUGUUAAGUCUGAUGUGAAAGCCCUGGGCUCAACCUGGGAAUUGCAUUGGAUACUGGCAGGCUAGAGUGCGGUAGAGGGUAGUGGAAUUCCCGGUGUAGCAGUGAAAUGCGUAGAGAUCGGGAGGAACAUCCGUGGCGAAGGCGACUACCUGGACCAGCACUGACACUCGAG
rnacentral:rRNA from 1 species